AAGUCGUAACAAGGUUUCCGUAGGUGAACCUGCGGAAGGAUCAUUAAUGAAAUAAUACUUUGCAGCUUCAAGUUGUUGCUGGUCUCUAAAAAGACAUGUGCACACUUGUUGUUGUGAAUAUUCAUCCACCUGUGCACUUCUGUAAGUCUGGAUAACUAUCACAGAAUUUAUUCUGUGGUUUUUGAAAGGUUGCUUUUAAAGCUCCUUUUGACUUUCCAGACUUAUGAAUUCAUAUACUCUUGUAUGUCUUGAAUGUCUUGUUUACUGGACUUAUGUCCUCUAAAACUAUAUACAACUUUCAACAACGGAUCUCUUGGCUCUC
rnacentral:misc_RNA from 1 species